UGGGGAAUUUUGGACAAUGGGCGAAAGCCUGAUCCAGCAAUGCCGCGUGUGUGAAGAAGGCCUUCGGGUUGUAAAGCACUUUUGUCCGGAAAGAAAUCCUUGGCUCUAAUACAGUCGGGGGAUGACGGUACCGGAAGAAUAAGCGCCGGCUAACUACGUGCCAGCAGCCGCGGUAAUACGUAGGGUGCAAGCGUUAAUCGGAAUUACUGGGCGUAAAGCGUGCGCAGGCGGUUUGCUAAGACCGAUGUGAAAUCCCCGGGCUCAACCUGGGAACUGCAUUGGUGACUGGCAGGCUAGAGUAUGGCAGAGGGGGGUAGAAUUCCACGUGUAGCAGUGAAAUGCGUAGAGAUGUGGAGGAAUACCGAUGGCGAAGGCAGCCCCCUGGGCCAAUACUGACGCUCAUGCACGAAAGCGUGGGGAGCAAACAGGAUUAGAUACCCUGGUAGUCCACGCCCUAAACGAUGUCAACUAGUUGUUGGGGAUUCAUUCCUUAGUAACGUAGCUAACGCGUGAAGUUGACCGCCUGGGGAGUACGGUCGCAAGAUUAAAACUCAAAUGAAUUGACGGGGUCAUAGCUG
rnacentral:rRNA from 1 species